rnacentral:rRNA from 1 species
AUGGCAAGCUGCUUGUCACCUGAACAAAGGGAGAAAAGGAAGAGGGAUGGAGAUGAUGAUGCCAUGGAUAGAGGCGCUGGAAGAGCACUCCCCAUGCUUGUCUUGAGGAGAACACCGCCUGGGACUUGGUGGCUGACAUUGAGAAGGUCAUGUUCGUCGGAUUGCAGGGCCAGUCUGACUCACCAACCAACCUCGCCUGCUUGCUCUGUUUAUUGUGCUACACCUCUUACUGAAUUCCAGUCGCUAUAUAUGAUUGCUUACCUGUAUAUAUGUACCACUCUAUGUGUAGCAUUUUUCUAA